ACUGUACAAAGGAUGUCAACUUUUCCAAGAUCAUUUGCAAGUCAUUUGAGGCCAGGAUAUAGACCUGCUCCAACUUCUUCUUCUGAUGGAAAUGGCUCUCUAGUGUCGGAUGGAGGGUCCAGGUAUUCAUGAUCAGGUUGCUAGCUUUAUUUUGUGUUGUUUACCUCACCAACCAAACACGCUCCUGCAGUGCUUUCCCCCGGCCGGCACGAUUCGAUGCUGCACUUUCCCUGCUUUUCGUGCCUGCUACCACAUCUCAAGAAAGGCACAUUGCAUUUCCCAUUAAUUGUCUGCCUUACCUAGUCAUUCUAUUAGUUAAUCCCCGGCACAAGCUUAUCUUUCUCCUCUUGGACGA